GACGUAGGGCGCGAGCGUUGUCCGGAUUUAUUGGGCGUAAAGAGCUCGUAGGCGGCUUGUUGCGUCGACUGUGAAAACCCGCGGCUUAACCGCGGGCUUGCAGUUGAUACGGGCAGGCUAGAGUUCGGUAGGGGAGACUGGAAUUCCUGGUGUAGCGGUGAAAUGCGCAGAUAUCAGGAGGAACACCGGCGGCGAAGGCGGGUCUCUGGGCCGUAACUGACGCUGAGGAGCGAAAGCGUGGGGAGCGAACAGG
rnacentral:rRNA from 1 species